CCUACGGGGAGCUGCAGUGAGGAAUAUUGGUCAAUGGACGAGAGUCUGAACCAGCCAAGUAGCGUGAAGGAUGACUGCCCUAUGGGUUGUAAACUUCUUUUAUAUGGGAAUAACAUGUUCCACGUGUGGGAUUUUGUAUGUACCGUAUGAAUAAGGGUCGGCUAAUUCCGUGCCAGCAGCCGCGGUAAUACGGAGGGUCCGAGCGUUAUCCGGAUUUAUUGGGUUUAAAGGGAGCGUAGGUGGAUUGUUAAGUGCGUUGGGAAAGUUUGCGGCUCAAACGUAAAAUUGCAGUUGAAACUGGAAGCCUUGAGUACAGUAGAGGUGGGCGGAAUUCGUGGUGUAGCGGUGAAAUGCUUAGAUAUCACGAAGAACUCCGAUUGCGAAGGCAGCUCACUGGACUGCAACUGACACUGAGGCUCGAAAGUGUGGGUAUCAAACAGGAUUAGAUACCCCAGUAGUC
rnacentral:rRNA from 1 species